GGGCCAGGAAGUACAUUCUUGCCAUGAACGCAGAAGGUGGAGAGCCAGAAAUACCUGUAUAAGCUUUGCAGAGUUUUCAACAGGGGAAUUACCUCUUCUGACUCAUGUUUCAUGUUUGUGAAAGAUGCCCCCGGCUGCUGCGUGGAGAGAGAUUUGGGGGUGAAGGCGGAAGCAGAGACACCAGUGAUGGGUGUAGAUGAGAGAAGAUGGUGGCUUUGACCAGAGUGCUAUCAGGAGGCUGGCUGAUUCUCUCAGCAACCUGGGAAGAAAGGUAAAUCACCACUUUCAUUCUGUGUGUGAGGACACCAGGGUCUAAAGAGAUCGUUGCCUGCCCAGAGUCAAUUUUCUGUCAUAAUCACUUACGAAGAAUGCAUCAUUCUUGAAGCCUAGUGAAUAGAUGAAGAAUUCUUGUAUGAAGACCCACCUGUGAAAACCAGGUCCCAAGUCCCUGGCCUAUCUGUAUGGUAAUAGGUAGAAAUGGUCCAAAUGAGUGGGGAAAUGACAGGGGGAUUAUAGAGUAGGGAAGUCGAUUUUCAGAAAGGGUUUAGGAGUACUGAUUUUGUAGGCUAUUAAGUUAACAACACGAUUUCAGUUUUUCUGUAAUCAGUUAAAAUUGUAAAGAGUAGUUUCACCUUGUUUUCUCUUGAGCUAACUCGGUAAAGCUUUAAAGAUAUUCUGUGCUGCCUUGGGAGUGUAGAGCAAGCAGAGACCGCCUAGGCCAAGGCUGUGUGUGUCUGCUUGCAAGAACCCUUGGAAUCACCUUGCC